rnacentral:rRNA from 1 species
AGGCUGAUCCUGCCCAAGAGCUCAUAUCGACGGCAGGGUUUGGCACCUCGAUGUCGGCUCAUCACAUCCUGGGGCUGGAGAAGGUCCCAAGGGUCCGGCUGUUCGCCGGUUAAAGUGGUACGCGAGCUGGGUUCAGAACGUCGCGAGACAGUUCGGUCCUUAUCCACUGUGGGCGCAGGAGAUUUGAGGGGUUCAGACCUUAGUACGAGAGGACCGGGUCUGACGAACCGAUGGUGUUCCAGUUGUUCUGUCAAGAGCAGUGCUGGGUAGCUAUGUUCGGAAAGGAUAAGCGCUGAAAGCAUCUAAGCGCCAAGCCUAUCCCAAGAUGAGAUCUCCCUGAAGGGUCGUGGUAGACCACCACGUUGAUAGGCUCCGGGUGUAAGCAUGGUAACAUGUUCAGCUCAGGAGUACUAAUAACCCGUUCGGCUUGAUCUUUUA